rnacentral:rRNA from 1 species
CCUGCGGGAGGUAGCAGUGGGGGAAUUUUGGACAAUGGGCGCAAGCCUGAUCCAGCCAUGCCGCGUGAGUGAAAGAAGGCCUUCGGGUUGUAAAGCUCUUUCCGCCGGAAAGAAAAUCGCGCCAACUAAUACUUGGAGUGGGAUGACGGUACCGGAAGAAGAAGCACCGGCUAACUACGUGCCAGCAGCCGCGGUAAUCACGUAGGGUGUCGACGCCAGUUAAUCGGAAUCGUACUGGGCGUAAAGCGUGCGCAGGCGGUUUUGUAAGACAGGCCGUGAACGUAUCCACCGGGACAUCUAACCUGGGAACUGCGUUUGUGACUGCACAGGCUAGUGCAGCUGCAAUCCGGACUACGAUCGGCUUUGGGAUGGAAUUCCACUCGUGGGUAGCAGUGAACCUGCGUACCGAGCAUGUGGAGGAACACCGAUGGCGAAGGCAACCUACCCAUAAGGGCCAUGAUGACUUGACGCUCAUGCACGAAAGCGUGGGGAGCAAACAGGAUUAGAUCACCCUGGCAGUCCACGCCCUAAACGAUGUCCAACUAGGUGUUGGCAAGGGUUAAACCUUUUAGUGCCGUAGCUAACGCGUGAAGUUGACCGCUCGUUGCGGGAGUUACGGCCGCAAGGCUAAAACUCACGACAGGAAUUGACGGGGACAGCCAUGCAGCAAGCGGUGGAUGAUGUCAGAUUACCUUUCGAUGCAACGCGAAAAACCUUACUCUGGAACCUUUCUGACAUGUCAGAAAGUUUCCAGAGUAUGGUUUUUCGCGUUGCAUCGAAAGGGAAUCCGACAUCAUCCACCGCUUGCUGCAUGGCUGUCCCCGUCAAUUCCUGUCGUGAGUUUUAGCCUUGCGGCCGUAAGUCCCGCAACGAGCGGUCAACUUCUCGUCGUUAAUUACGGCACUAAUUAAGGUUUAACCCUUUAGCGAGACUGCCUAGUUGACAAAUCGUUUAGGAAGCGUGGGGACUACGUCAAGGUCCUCAUAAUCCUGUAUGGGUAGGGCU